rnacentral:rRNA from 1 species
UGGGGAAUUUUGGACAAUGGGGGAAACCCUGAUCCAGCCAUACCGCGUGAGUGAAGAAGGCCUUCGGGUUGUAAAGCUCUUUCAGCCGGAAAGAAAUUGCAUCUAUUAAUACUAGGUGUAGAUGACGGUACCGGAAGAAGAAGCACCGGCUAACUACGUGCCAGCAGCCGCGGUAAUACGUAGGGUGCGAGCGUUAAUCGGAAUUACUGGGCGUAAAGCGUGCGCAGGCGGUUUUAUAAGCCAGAUGUGAAAUCCCCGGGCUCAACCUGGGAACUGCAUUUGGAACUGUAAGACUAGAGUGUAGAAGAGGGGGGUAGAAUUCCACGUGUAGCAGUGAAAUGCGUAGAUAUGUGGAGGAAUACCGAUGGCGAAGGCAGCCCCCUGGGCUAACACUGACGCUCAUGCACGAAAGCGUGGGGAGCAAACAGGAUUAGAUACCCUGGUAGUCCACGCCCUAAACGAUGUCAACUAGUUGUUGGGGAAGGAGACUUCUUUAGUAACGCAAGCUAACGCGAUAAGUUGACCGCCUGGGGAAGUACGGUCGCAAGAAUUAAAA